CCUACGGGAGGCAGCAGUGAGGAAUAUUGGUCAAUGGGCGCGAGCCUGAACCAGCCAAGUAGCGUGAAGGAUGACUGCCCUACGGGUUGUAAACUUCUUUUAUAAAGGAAUAAAGUGAGGCACGUGUGCCUUUUUGAAUGUACUUUAUGAAUAAGGCUCGGCUAACUCCUUGCCAGCAGCCGCGGUAAUACGGAGGAUCCGAGCGUUAUCCGGAUUUAUUGGGUUUAAAGGGAGCGUCGAUGGUUUUUUAAGUCAGUUGUGAAAGUUUGCGGCUCAACCGUAAAAGUGCAAUUGAUACUGGCAGUCUUGAGUACAGUUGAGGUAGGCGGAAUGCGUGGUGUAGCGGUGAAAUGCUUAGAUAUCACGAAGAACUGCGAUUGCGAAGGCAGCUUACUAAACUGCCACUGACAUUGAUGCUCGAAAGUGUGGGUAUCAAACAGGAUUAGAUACCCUAGUAGUC
rnacentral:rRNA from 1 species